rnacentral:rRNA from 1 species
UUCCGUAGGUGAACCUGCGGAAGGAUCAUUAUUGAAUAUACUUGAUGGGUUGUUGCUGGUUCUGAGGAGCAUGUGCACGCCUGUCUUGAUUCUAUUCAUCCACCUGUGCACUAUUUGUAGUCUCUGAGGGCUGGGAUUGGUAGUUGGCCCAUCAGCUGAAAAGCUGGAUAAGAAGGUUGCUGCUGCUUUCUUCUGCAACAGGCCAUGAUCUCCCUUGGGGCCUAUGUAUCUUUCAUAAACNAUGUAGCAUGUUAAGAAUGUAAUCAAUAGGCCUUUGUGUCUAUAAAACCUUAUACAACUUUCAGCAACGGAUCUCUUGGCUCUCGCAUCGAUGAAGAACGCAGCGAAAUGCGAUAAGUAAUGUGAAUUGCAGAAUUCAGUGAAUCAUCGAAUCUUUGAACGCACCUUGCGCUCCUUGGUAUUCCGAGGAGCAUGCCUGUUUGAGUGUCAGUAAAUUCUCAAUCCCAUCUAGCUUUUGCGGUUGGGACUUGGAUAGUGGAGGUAUUUGCAGGCGCCUUGUGAGGUGUCAGCUCCUCUGAAAUACAUUAGCGGAACCGUUUGCAAUCCGUUNCAGGUGUGAUAAUUAUCUACACCGCGUGGGGUUGCUCUCUGAGUGUUCAGCUUCCAACUGUCCUCUCUGUGGACAACUUACUGAACUUUUGACCUCAAAUCAGGUAGGACUACCCGCUGAACUUAAGCAUAUCAAUAAGCGGAGNAAAAGAAACUAACANGGAUUNCCCCUAGNAACUGCGANGAAANNNGGGAAA